GCUGUAGCUCAGUGCUAGAGCGCUUGCCUAGCAUGUAUGAGGCACUGGGUUCAAAUCUCAGCAUUGCA
rnacentral:tRNA from 1 species